rnacentral:lncRNA from 1 species
CACCGUUCUGUAAUUUACUGUCAGUGAAAGAUUCUCAAGUGGUUCAGGUGGUUCUAGAUGGUCUAAAAAACAUUCUGAUAAUGGCCGGUGAUGAAGCAAGCACAAUAGCUGAAAUAAUAGAGGAAUGUGGAGGUUUGGAGAAAAUUGAAGUUUUACAGCAACAUGAAAAUGAAGACAUAUAUAAAUUAGCAUUUGAAAUCAUAGAUCAGUAUUUCUCUGGUGAUGAUAUUGAUGAAGAUCCCUGCCUCAUUCCUGAAGCAACACAAGGAGGCUGACAACUGCAGUCUCCAGUUUAGAAUAAAUAUUCCAUAGUGGUGACAUGUCAGCUGCCCACUGAUACUCCUUUGGAAAAUGGUGCGCUGUGGAUCAAGACACUUUGGUAUGAUGCAUAUACAAGUUGGAAGACUAAAGAGGUGCAGUGUGAUCUGAGCCUCCAUCAUUGUCCUCCACAAACAUAUUUUCAUAUUCUUUAUGUGGAAGAAUAGAUUUUAAAGUACAAGCCAAAUGAUUUUCAUUGGUGGAACUGACACAAAAAAAGUAACUUAAAAACAAGAAACUUGGUUAUUGAAUAAACAGAUAAGUUUAAAA